GCAAAUGAAGUAAUGUUAAUGGUAAUUACAAGUGGUAAAUAGGUUGGCAUUUACUAUAAAAUACUUUCAGUGUUGCUAUAUGUUUGAAAAAUCUCAUGAUAAGAUUUUGAAGAAAUUUUUUUAAACAUUUUAAUUGUUUAUUCACAAGAGACACAAGGAGAGAGGCAGAGAUACGGGCAGCGGGAGAAGCAGGCUCCCUGCGGGGAACCCAACCCCGGGACUCCAGGAUCACACCCUGGGCUGAAGGCAGCUGCUCAACCACUGAGCCAUCCAGAAAUCCUGAGUAAUGUUUUUAAAAGAUGGCUGAUGGCAGCUUUAAGUGCUCUUUUCUCCUGGAAGUGGCAAGUCCCAACUUACUAUGGAGACAACUCCUUGCAAGAUAAAUGGCACCAGGCAACUAUUUUCAACCAAACUAUUGCUUAUUAGGGUAAGAUGUUUACAGUCAUUUUUUAAUCCAAAUUAUAGGAUUUCUCUCCUUAUCUUUACUCAAUUUUAAGGAAAGUUCAAAAGAUAUUCAAACUCUGCUUCUUUUUCCUCAGAUGUAUUUCAAAAUCAAAGAUUUUCCCUAUGUCUUCAGGGAUGGCAAAGAUGAGGAGACGGUGAAAUAACUUUCUGCAGUUGGCCUUUCUGAGAAUCAAGCUUCUCUAUCCUGGCUAUAAUAAUUUAUUCUUGUGUAGAUUCUCACAUAAAUGAUAAUCAUGUUUAUUAUGAGCCUUGAGAAACAGCAAAAUUUAUAUUUAUUAGACAUUCUCAAUUCCAUGUCUCACACAGCAGCCAGAACAUACUAUUACAUGGAAUGAAAACCAGAAGGCACUAAACACAGAAAGAGCAUAUAGCAUUAAGCACUCACUGUAUGAAUUGCUUCAUACUGGAUGUUAUCUUUUUAUUAGAGAUAUGGUUUUAACUAGCUUAGUUCCCUCAACUCAGUGAGAGGUUCAUGAUCCUUUUUUUUUUUUUUUUUGGCAUCUCCUUCAUAACUAAAUAACUAUGUGGUAAGAUUUAUUCAAACUAAGCUAAAAUUACUCUCAUUUGGCAAGAGAUCAAGUCUUAAUAAAAUAACAUGUUUAAACA
rnacentral:lncRNA from 12 species